GCAGGAGCUGCUCCUGGAUGCCCUGGGGGUGUUUCUCUUUGCGAGUCUGUUGGUUUAGGAAUGAAAUUCGCUCGGGUUUGUCGCGUUGUUUGUUCUGGCGCUGGCUUUGGAAACGCUCCAAGGGUGUUGGCUAAACAGAAGCUAAUUAGUUGCUGGUGCUUGGUUUUGCCCAGCACAGGCUGGGGUAGGAGCCUCUCCUCCCCGUCCUGCCCCAUUCCCUGCUGGGGCUGCAGCUGCUUCUGCCUCACAGCUCACUCCCAUUCUUCACCGCCACAACCAGAGCCCUCAUGUUUGUGCUCAGCCUGGUUUCAGGCAGGACUGAAAAGCCCGAUUUAACAAGAAAAAGCUGUUCCAAAUGUGAUUUCUUCAUACACGCAUGGCCAUGGUGUGCAUCCCUUGUGGGAAUUUUGCUAAAGCAGCCUCUUUCUGCUCUCUCCAGAUGAGCAGAGCUCGGAUCUGUUCUUCUCACACCUUCCUGCCUGAGGUUAUGCCUAUGGAGGACAGCUGGGAGCAGUCCUCAUCAUCAGCCCUGUGCCCGCAUCCUGCUUCAGGAGCAGCCGGAGGAGCCCUCCUGGUAUGGAGGUGCUUGGACCAGGCUUUCCCACCAGCCCCAGCAGGGUCCCACCUUCAUAAACCUAGACGGUGUAUGGGGGGGGGGGGGGGGCUGUUGUCUGGGACCCUCUUUGCUGCUGGAGCCAAUCCUAUAUCCAACACGCUCACUGUUUGUCCUUGGAGCUUGCUCAAGAGGCUGCGCGCUCCCUCGGAUGCCCCCAGAAGGGAUGUUGGGAGCAGGAAUAAUCACCACAGAGCCAAGGACUCUGCUGUUCUCUUGUUACUCCGCAUUCGGAGAAACCACAGGGCUGGGAGAGGGGAAGAAAAAAGAUGAGAUUAAACUAAUGAGCAGGUAA